AAUUUUAACCAAAUUUCCAUAAGCUUUACGUAAACUAAUCACGAGCGCAUUCAAAAGCUUAAACAGACAGAAACUAUAAAAUUAUCAGUUCAGCAAAUAUCUAACAAUAACUUAUAAUCAUGUAGCUUAGUAAAAUUGAAGAAAAGAGGAAAGAUAAGAGCGAACCUCAAAUCAAUAAACUUUCUUCAAUAUUCAAAAGGCGAAUUUGUACAACACAUUAUCGUUCCGACAGCUAAAGUGAAGUUUCAUCAACGAAAUCCGGACCGGGAACCUCGUCGUUCGACUCAAAGUGCAAUAACUUGUCAACUUUUGGUAUAAAUCAACCAAAUCGGAACUUCUAACGGCUAAACAAACUCGGCGGCUCUUGACUGGAGCUCUCAUCGGUGAACCCAUACGAAAACAGCAACCUCGACCUCCACUUUGAUGUCACCGUUUACAUCGAAAACAGGGUUGUUCUGGGGUGUUCUUAGCUGGGAUUUGGUGGUCUAAGGUUGGAUUUGAGGGCUGUUUUGUUGUCUUUUUGGGGCUGAAAUUUCCAGCUAGUUUGGAUGGUGUUUUAAAACGGCAGCUCGUAGAAGACGAUGGGCAUGGUUGAAACUUUUUGGAAUGGAGACCGUUCUUCUUCUGCUGAAGAAGCAAAAGAUCUGAAGGCUACCUCUUUUGUUGUCUCUUAGCUUUAGGUCUCUCGGGCGAGGCAGCUCGUAGAAGACGAUGGGCGUGGUUGAAACUUUUUGGAAUGGAGACCAUUCUUCUUCUGCUGAAGAAGCAAAAGAUCUGAAGGCUACCUCUUUUGUUGUCUCUUAGCUUUAGGUCUCUCGGGCGUUACUUUGUGUUGUUCUUUUAGAGAGAAACGACUGAUUGGUAUUUUC
rnacentral:lncRNA from 1 species